CCUACGGGUGGCAGCAGUGGGGAAUAUUGCACAAUGGGGGAAACCCUGAUGCAGCGACGCCGCGUGAGUGAAGAAGUAAUUCGUUAUGUAAAGCUCUAUCAGCAGGGAAGAAAAUGACGGUACCUGAGUAAGAAGCCCCGGCUAACUACGUGCCAGCAGCCGCGGUAAUACGUUGGGGGCAAGCGUUAUCCGGAUUUACUGGGUGUAAAGGGUGCGUAGGCGGCUUGGCAAGUCAGUAGUGAAAUCCAUGGGCUUAACCCAUGAACUGCUAUUGAAACUGUCGAGCUUGAGUGAAGUAGAGGUAGGCGGAAUUCCCGGUGUAGCGGUGAAAUGCGUAGAGAUCGGGAGGAACACCAGUGGCGAAGGCGGCCUACUGGGCUUUAACUGACGCUGAGGCACGAAAGCGUGGGUAGCAAACAGGAUUAGAUACCCUUGUAGUC
rnacentral:rRNA from 1 species